UACAGAGGGUGCAAGCGUUAAUCGGAAUUACUGGGCGUAAAGUGUGCGCAGGCGGCCGCGCAAGUCGAGUGUGAAAGCCCCCGGGCUUAACUUGGGAAUUGCGCUCGAAACUACGUGGCUGGAGUGUGGCAGAGGAAGGUGGAAUUCCACGUGUAGCGGUGAAAUGCGUAGAGAUGUGGAGGAACACCAAUGGCGAAGGCAGCCUUCUGGGCCAACACUGACGCUCAUGCACGAAAGCGUGGGGAGCAAACAGG
rnacentral:rRNA from 1 species